CUCUCUAAACUGAAUAGUUUUUAUAAGCAAAGAAGUAAGAAGGGAUGGGCUACUGAUGGUGAUCGUAAUACGAAUUUUUUUCAUCAAGCUGUGCUUAAGAGAAGGAAAAGGAAUACUAUCUGCUCGGUUAAGGAUGAAAAUAAUAUUGUGCAUUUUAAGCCUAGUCUCAUUGCUAAUACCUUUGUUAAUUAUUUCAGCAACUGUGGUAGACCUUUUCUUGCUUCUCAAUUACCGGAGGGCUCUUUGGACCCUACUUAUUUAAUUCCGGAUAAAAAUGAGGUCUUGCAGAUUUUGAAGGACAUGAAGUUGAAUGCUUCUCCAGGGCCAGAUGGUUUUAAUGUCGAGUUUUAUUUGGCUACUUGGAAUUGGAUAGGAGACGAUGUCACUCAAUUGGUAGUCAAUUUUUAUAGAACAGGUAUAUUGCCCUCUCACGUGAGUGAUACAAACAUUGCUCUCAUUCCAAAAAAACUUGUUCCUCGGGUUCCUAUGGAUUAUCGUCCCAUUAGUCUUUGCAAUGUUAUUUAUAAAAUCAUUGCCAAAUCUUUGGCUAAUCGUCUUAAGCCUCAUCUUCCAGUUAUAUUGACCCUUCUCAACAAGCUUUCAUUGAAGGUAGAAGAAUUAGUGACAAUAUCAUUAUUGCUCAAGAGAUUUCUCACUCUUUUGCUCUUUGUUCUUGGAAUCACCUUGCUUUCGUGCUUAAAAUUGAUCUUGCUAAGGCUUUCGAUCGUUUAG
rnacentral:rRNA from 1 species